rnacentral:rRNA from 1 species
GGCGGAGCAGGCGGACGCGCUGCCCUCCGGGUUCUACGACGCCUUCGUGCUCUGCGGCAUCCCCGUCCCGCCUCCUCGUCAGCCUCCCUCUUCCCUUCCCUGCUGAAUUCCUGCUCCAUGCUUGAACUCGGGCAACUUCCUGCACGGCGGCGCAACUGA